CGGACGAACGCUGGCGGCGUGCUUAAUACAUGCAAGUCGAGCGAGGCCUUGGAAUUGGAGUCCUUCGGGAUGAAGAGUCCUUGGCCUAGCGGCGGACGGGUGAGUAACGCGUGGGCAACCUGCCUCGAAGACCGGGAUAACAGCCCGAAAGGGCUGCUAAUACCGGAUGUGGUCAAGGAUCCGCAUGGAUUUUGAUUAAAGGGGAAACCCGUUUCGAGAUGGGCCCGCGUCCUAUCAGCUAGUUGGUGAGGUAAAAGCUCACCAAGGCGACGACGGGUAGCCGGCCUGAGAGGGUGACCGGCCACACUGGAACUGAGACACGGUCCAGACUCCUACGGGGGGCAACAGUGGGGAAUCUUCCACAAUGGGCGAAAGCCUGAUGGAGCGACGCCGCGUGAGCGAAGAAGGCCUUCGGGUUGUAAAGCUCUGUCUGGAGGGACGAAGGAAGUGACGGUACCUCCGGAGGAAGCCACGGCUAACUACGUG
rnacentral:rRNA from 1 species